UUCUGGUUGGAUGUGAUGUCUGUUCCACUGCAGAGCUUCUAUGCCCUGUACUGUAAGCCGUUUCAAAAGCCCUGGGCUAGACAGGUUGUAGCCCCCGUGAGGAACUCAGUGUUGCUGAUUUGCUAAAUGACGCCUUCUACAGAGCUGUGUUUAUACGGACAGAACAGUGCUAUUGUUAUCUUGGUGAGAAAAGUUUCCUUUCGCAGUACUCACCAGUGCCUGCAGAGAUUCCUAGCCGUAAGUGUUUAACCAGAAUUGAAACAUCUGUAUCUCUUCCUGGACGCCUUAGAGAACAUCAUGGAAGUCAGGGGAGCAGGAACGCAAGAGGCCGAGGACGUGAUAAGACAGACUACGCAAGUCACAAAAUUUCAAAACCUUCUAAACCAUGCUGUGUGGGAGAGCUAUGCAUCUCAUCCUUUGGACCAAAGAGACACAAAACUUCUCCAUGGCCCUCCAACGAACCAUGUUCCUCUUAGGGCUUCCUCAAUGGGCAAGAGGUCCAGUUGUGAGACACUUAACGGAUUAUAGCAGCAGAACCACCCGGCCAGCUCACUGUGGGGCAGUCACCUCACACAUGGACCACGUGCCCUAUGCCCUCUUGGGUCUCACUGCUUGGUGUACAAUGGAAAGCAGGUCCUCCAUGAGCCGCAGACCAGCCUAUGCAAUCUCCCUUCUUUGAUAAAACUCUGAAUCCAAUGCUGUCAUUGUUCCAGGACGUGAGUUUUCAGUAACGAUGAAGAAGAUGAGGCUACAGCCCAGGCAGUGGUGAGAACCGUAAGGGGGGAGAAGGGCCAUGCGUUCUACAGAUAUUUGCAGUAACGUUUGCAGCAGUGGGGCGUCUGUUCUCAGUUAAUGGGGUAGCGUCUGCCCCACUAAAGCACUAGGCAAAGACAUCAGUG
rnacentral:sRNA from 1 species